rnacentral:rRNA from 1 species
UGGCUCAGGACGAACGCUGGCGGCGUGCUUAACACAUGCAAGUCGAACGCUGAAGCUUGGUGCUUGCACUGGGUGGAUGAGUGGCGAACGGGUGAGUAAUACGUGAGUAACCUGCCCUUGACUCUGGGAUAAGCCUGGGAAACUGGGUCUAAUACUGGAUACGACAUGUCACCGCAUGGUGGUGUGUGGAAAGGGUUUUACUGGUUUUGGAUGGGCUCACGGCCUAUCAGCUUGUUGGUGGGGUAAUGGCUCACCAAGGCGACGACGGGUAGCCGGCCUGAGAGGGUGACCGGCCACACUGGGACUGAGACACGGCCCAGACUCCUACGGGAGGCAGCAGUGGGGAAUAUUGCACAAUGGGCGGAAGCCUGAUGCAGCGACGCCGCGUGAGGGAUGACGGCCUUCGGGUUGUAAACCUCUUUCAGCACGGAAGAAGCGAAAGUGACGGUACGUGCAGAAGAAGCGCCGGCUAACUACGUGCCAGCAGCCGCGGUAAUACGUAGGGCGCAAGCGUUGUCCGGAAUUAUUGGGCGUAAAGAGCUCGUAGGCGGUUUGUCGCGUCUGCUGUGAAAGCCCGGGGCUUAACCCCGGGUGUGCAGUGGGUACGGGCAGACUUGAGUGCAGUAGGGGAGACUGGAAUUCCUGGUGUAGCGGUGAAAUGCGCAGAUAUCAGGAGGAACACCGAUGGCGAAGGCAGGUCUCUGGGCUGUUACUGACGCUGAGGAGCGAAAGCAUGGGGAGCGAACAGGAUUAGAUACCCUGGUAGUCCAUGCCGUAAACGUUGGGCACUAGGUGUGGGGAACAUUCCACGUUUUCCGCGCCG